rnacentral:rRNA from 1 species
AGUGAACGCUGGCGGUAGGCCUAACACAUGCAAGUCGAACGGCAGCACAGUAAGAGCUUGCUCUUACGGGUGGCGAGUGGCGGACGGGUGAGGAAUACAUCGGAAUCUACUUUUUCGUGGGGGAUAACGUAGGGAAACUUACGCUAAUACCGCAUACGACCUACGGGUGAAAGCAGGGGAUCUUCGGACCUUGCGCGAUUGAAUGAGCCGAUGUCGGAUUAGCUAGUUGGCGGGGUAAAGGCCCACCAAGGCGACGAUCCGUAGCUGGUCUGAGAGGAUGAUCAGCCAAACUGGGACUGAGACAAGGUCCAGACUCCUAAGGGAGGCAGCAGUGGGGAAUAUUGGACAAUGGGCGCAAGCCUGAUCCAGCCAUACCGCGUGAGUGAAGAAGGCCUUCGGGUUGUAAAGCCCUUUUGUUGGGAAAGAAAAGCAGCAGGUUAAUACCCCGCUGUUAUGACGGUACCAAAAGAAUAAGCACCGGCUAACUUCGUG